CACGCAGCCCCAGACCCCACAGAUCUGCUCUGCGUGACUGGGCCCUAAGAUGGUUUCUCUGCCUCCCUUUUCACCAUCAGCUCAGCUGAAAUCAAUGGCGUUAUGAGAGUGUUUUAUGGCUGUAGGCGUCAAUGGUGGUCAGGAUGAGACCUGCUGUACAUCUAUUCCUUGCUUCUGAAUAUAUGGGAGUAACAAAGCCAGUGUGUGGGUUACAACCAGCCAGGCUCAUGGAAGAAAAGAAGCUAAAAAGCUGGAAUACGUUGCAAUCCCCAAACAGACACCAAUGGCAAAAUAAUUACCCUCUGCCACCCUUACAUUCAGCCAAGUCUCAACCAAGUCUUCACCGGACCUUUGGAAUGAGAGAAUCUCUGAGUGGGUCAUGCAAUAUAUAUUGAUUCAACACUGAAUGGAAUUUAACUCCAGUGACGAUUGGGUGCUGCUAUCACAAUGUGAGCCAUCUUCAACAUUCGUGCUUUCAGAGUACAGGGCCUUUUGACAACACGG